CCGGACGGGGGGCGUGCUUUACCAUGCAAGUCGAACGAUGAAGCCCAGCUUGCUGGGUGGAUUAGUGGCGAACGGGUGAGUAACACGUGAGUAACCUGCCCUUAACUCUGGGAUAAGCCUGGGAAACUGGGUCUAAUACCGGAUAGGAGCGCCUACCGCAUGGUGGGUGUUGGAAAGAUUUAUCGGUUUUGGAUGGACUCGCGGCCUAUCAGCUUGUUGGUGAGGUAAUGGCUCACCAAGGCGACGACGGGUAGCCGGCCUGAGAGGGUGACCGGCCACACUGGGACUGAGACACGGCCCAGACUCCUACGGGAGGCAGCAGUGGGGAAUAUUGCACAAUGGGCGAAAGCCUGAUGCAGCGACGCCGCGUGAGGGAUGACGGCCUUCGGGUUGUAAACCUCUUUCAGUAGGGAAGAAGCGAAAGUGACGGUACCUGCAGAAGAAGCACCGGCUAACUACGUGCCAGCAGCCGCGGUAAUACGUAGGGUGCGAGCGUUAUCCGGAAUUAUUGGGCGUAAAGAGCUCGUAGGCGGUUUGUCGCGUCUGUCGUGAAAGUCCGGGGCUUAACCCCGGAUCUGCGGUGGGUACGGGCAGACUAGAGUGCAGUAGGGGAGACUGGAAUUCCUGGUGUAGCGGUGGAAUGCGCAGAUAUCAGGAGGAACACCGAUGGCGAAGGCAGGUCUCUGGGCUGUAACUGACGCUGAGGAGCGAAAGCAUGGGGAGCGAACAGGAUUAGAUACCCUGGUAGUCCAUGCCGUAAACGUUGGGCACUAGGUGUGGGGACCAUUCCACGGUUUCCGCGCCGCAGCUAACGCAUUAAGUGCCCCGCCUGGGGGAGUACGG
rnacentral:rRNA from 1 species